UAUUUAUUUAUUUUUAAUUAAGUAUAUCUGUUUCCUUCCCUGCUAUGAAGAGAUACUGGCUGGUCCUUAACGUACAGUGAACUUCAUGACUUUUGGUAUUGGAACUAACUCAAUUCCCAGUUCUUUGGACAGAGUCUAGAAAAAUAUAUAGUGCUGUAAACCACAUCGUCAUCAAGCUUAAGAAUGGAAAAGAUGGGGAAAAGGUGGAUCCUUCAUUCAUCAGGACUGCAGUACCCAAACUUCUCUGGAAAUCCUGGGACACGUCAGCUUGAUGUACUACAGGUGACAGAGCAGACAGCCUGCCAGCAAUCAAACAGAUGUUUCCUUCACAUUACUGUUUCUUGCAAUAAGCUGUGAUUGAUGAACAACCAUGCAACUGUGAAGAGUCUCACAUUUACUUAAGAUUAGUAUAUUUCAUCGUAGGAUAGAUGUAUAGACUUAAUACUCUUACACCCUGUUCCAAAAAGUACCAUUCAUAAGAAAAGCAAAGUUUAGCUUCUUUCUUUUUAGCUGGAUGAAGAUUUCUGCAUCAGGAAUUCUCACCUCCAAGGGAUGUAUGAACUAACAGUUCAAUACUACACAUAUUUCUCCAGAAAACACAAAGAGAAACAAGGGGCAUACCAUUUUUUUAAUUUUUUUUAAGCAGAAUCAGAAAUUUUAUGGAAGUCAGUUCUGGCUAAAAGUUCACAUGUGGACAGCGAUUCUCAGCAGUCAUUUUAAGUCCUCUUUGACUUGCAUUAUGGAAUGAACACUGCAUGUUAGCAGCUUGAAACUCUUGCAUGUGAUUCAUGUAAAUGAGACAUACAUCUUACAUUUUAUGAGAUGCUACAUUUUAUGAAAUAUGCCAGUGUGCGUGGAGUAAAUUUUAAAGAACUAUCUUCCAGGGCAGAUAGCUUUGCACUGCAUGUCAUUGGCUCUUCUUUGUACUGGAUACAAUGAUGUUAAUGACAUCAUCACAGGUGUGCUAAAUCAGGAGUGUGUCAUCUCAGAAGUUUUUUAAAAAAACAUCUUCUCAAAGGAACAGUACAUUCCAAAUAUGCCAAACAAG
rnacentral:lncRNA from 1 species